UAGGGAAUCUUCCACAAUGGACGCAAGUCUGAUGGAGCAACGCCGCGUGAGUGAAGAAGGUUUUCGGAUCGUAAAGCUCUGUUGUUGGUGAAGAAGGAUAGAGGCAGUAACUGGUCUUUAUUUGACGGUAAUCAACCAGAAAGUCACGGCUAACUACGUGCCAGCAGCCGCGGUAAUACGUAGGUGGCAAGCGUUGUCCGGAUUUAUUGGGCGUAAAGCGAGCGCAGGCGGAAUGAUAAGUCUGAUGUGAAAGCCCACGGCUCAACCGUGGAACUGCAUCGGAUACUGUCAUGCUUGAGUACAGAAGAGGAGAGUGGAAUUCCAUGUGUAGCGGUGGAAUGCGUAGAGAUAUGGAAGAACACCAGUGGCGAAGGCGGCUCUCUGGUCUGCAACUGACGCUGAGGCUCGAAAGCAUGGGUAGCGAACAGG
rnacentral:rRNA from 1 species